rnacentral:rRNA from 1 species
UACGAAGGGUGCAAGCGUUACUCGGAAUUACUGGGCGUAAAGGGUGCGUAGGUGGUUUUUUAAGUCCGUUGUGAAAUCCCUGGGCUCAACCUGGGAAUGGCAGUGGAUACUGGAAAGCUAGAGUGCGGUAGAGGGUAGUGGAAUUCCCGGUGUAGCAGUGAAAUGCGUAGAGAUCGGGAGGAACACCAGUGGCGGAAGGCGGCUACCUGGACCAGCACUGACACUGAGGCACGAAAGCGUGGGGAGCAAACAGGG